rnacentral:lncRNA from 1 species
AGUGUCUCAGCCAGGGGCAGGGCCGGGGAACUCCUGCGAAAAACCACGGGCCGGAGGAGCAGCAGCCGCGCGGGCCCAGUAAGAAGAAUUGAAAAAUAAUUCACAGAGAAUUGAUUCCCAUGAUGCGUUCACCUAUGUCCUGCUCAGAACACAUCUAGGAUCAUUUCAGCGCUGAUAGACUGUUCAAGGAGAUGCAGCCUAACUCAAGAAAAAUUCAUCAUGCUCCUCCUCUUUCCUUCUCCAGUUUUGUUCCCACAUAUGAACAUUAAAUGAAAAUUUAUGAAGUUCCUGCUGAGUGAAAAUCACUGCUGGAUAGGUGAAUUCCAAGAUGAAAUAGAUAGACUUUCUGGCCUGAAGUUGCUUACUGUUACCACUGAAUAUAUGCCCAUAAAAUAUUAAAAUAGACCUAAAUGCCUUUUCUGAGGUCUGGAACUCUCAAAGUGUUGUGAGCCUCCAAUCUAAUUAAAGAACUCACUCAAGUAUAAUGCAAAAUAGAGGAUGAAAAAUGCCAUACGAAUGUAUAGAUAAUGUUUUAUGGGAGAUUAGAAUAGAGAA